ACGGGUGAGUAACGCGUGGGAACGUGCCUUCUGGUUCGGAAUAACUCAGGGAAACUUGAGCUAAUACCGGAUACGCCCUUUUGGGGAAAGGUUUACUGCCGGAAGAUCGGCCCGCGUCUGAUUAGCUAGUUGGUGGGGUAACGGCCUACCAAGGCGACGAUCAGUAGCUGGUCUGAGAGGAUGGUCAGCCACACUGGGACUGAGACACGGCCCAGACUCCUACGGGAGGCAGCAGUGGGGAAUAUUGGACAAUGGGCGCAAGCCUGAUCCAGCCAUGCCGCGUGAGUGAUGAAGGCCUUAGGGUUGUAAAGCUCUUUUAUCCGGGACGAUAAUGACGGUACCGGAGGAAUAAGCCCCGGCUAACUUCGUGCCAGCAGCCGCGGUAAUACGAAGGGGGCUAGCGUUGCUCGGAAUCACUGGGCGUAAAGGGCGCGUAGGCGGUCUUUUAAGUCGGGGGUGAAAGCCUGUGGCUCAACCACAGAAUUACCUUCGAUACUGGGAGACUUGAGUUCGGAAGAGGUUGGUGGAACUGCGAGUGUAGAGGUGAAAUUCGUAGA
rnacentral:rRNA from 1 species